GUAAUUUCUACCCCUUUUAAUGAGAUAUCAAAACAACAGAAGACAAACUUUAAUUCUUUUCUUUUCUCCAUUUUUUCCUUCAUCUAAUUUCUUUCCAUUCCUUAACAACUUCAGAUACCCAAACAAAGGGUUAGAAAUUCCAAACCAAGUUAACAUUUUUGAACAAGAUAUACAAUCAUAAAUAUGACACAAAAUUCUUAAUCCCCUUGUUUGGAAGCUAGAAUUUUAUUAGAAUUCUAUUCAAUUAAU
rnacentral:misc_RNA from 1 species